GUGCUCACUUCGGCAGCACAUAUACUAAAAUUGGAACGAUACAAAGAUUAGCAUGGCCCCUGUGCAAGGAUGACAUGCACAUUCGUGAAACAUUCUAUAUUUAA